CCUACGGGAGGCAGCAGUGAGGAAUAUUGGUCAAUGGGCGCGAGACUGAACCAGCCAAGUCGCGUGAGGGAUGAAGGUCCAAAGUAUCGUAAACCUCUUUUGUCAGGGAACAAAGGCCGGGACGUGUCCCCGGACGAGUGUACCUGAAGAAAAAGCAUCGGCUAACUCCGUGCCAGCAGCCGCGGUAAUACGGAGGAUGCGAGCGUUAUCCGGAUUUAUUGGGUUUAAGGGGUGCGCAGGCGGUCUGUUAAGUCAGCGGUAAAAGCCCGGGGCUCAACCCCUGCCAGCCGUUGAAACUGGCAGUCUCGAGUUGGAGAGAAGUAUGCGGAAUGCGCGGUGUAGCGGUGAAAUGCAUAGAUAUCGCGCAGAACUCCGAUUGCGAAGGCAGCAUGCCGGCGCCACACUGACGCUGAGGCACGAAAGCGUGGGUAUCGAACAGGAUUAGAUACCCGUGUAGUC
rnacentral:rRNA from 1 species